rnacentral:rRNA from 1 species
GGUGAACGCUGGCGGUAGGCCUAACACAUGCAAGUCGAACGGCAGCACAGUAAGAGCUUGCUCUUACGGGUGGCGAGUGGCGGACGGGUGAUGAAUACAUCGGAAUCUACUUUUUCGAGGGGGAUAACGUAGGGACUCUUACGCUAAUACCGCAUACGACCUACGGGUGAAAGCAUGGGAUCUUCGGACCUUACGCGAUUGUAUGAGCCGAGGUCGGAUUAGCUAGUUGGCGGGGUAAAGGCCCACCAAGGCGACGAUCCGUAGCUGGUCUGAGAGGAUGAUCAGCCACACUGGAACUGAGACACGGUCCAGACUCCUACGGGAGGCAGCAGUGGGGAAUAUUGGACAAAGGGCGCAAGCCUGAUCCAGCCAUACCGCGUGUGUGAAGAAGGCCUUCGGGUUGUAAAGCCCUUUUGUUGGGAAAGAAAAGCAGCAGGUUAAUACCCCGCUGUUCUGACGGUACCCAAAGAAUAAGCACCGGCUAACUUCGUG